CUUCGUCUUAUCCUUUCAUCUCCCCAAACCCUCACCUAAGCCGUUCUCUCCAUCUCCAUUGCUCUCUAUCUCCACCGACCAUCGACCCACAACCCACGACUCUCCAUCUCCAAUGACCGUCGACCAUAGCCCACGGCUCUUGCCAUCUCCACCGCUCUUCAUCUCCAUGUCAUUCUCUCUAUUUCAGGUCGUCCUCCUUCGGGCUAUCCGUCAUCGCUUCAGUACUUUCACGAGGUCCUUCGUCUAAGGCUUCAUUCCCCUUUACGUCGUCCUUCUGUAUUUAGAGACUAUUUAACUAAGCGAAAUGAAGGAAAGUUACCAAAGAUGAAGUAAUCCAAGCAAAAUGUUGGAUUCAUGAAAUUUAACUUCCAUUAAACAAAUCUAUCAAAAUUUAGAAUUUAAAGUUCCAACAAUAUUUUAAUGGCAUUGUGACAGUAACACUUGCACCUAUGGAAAUUUCCUUAAUUUUGAAUUAGUUAAUCUAGCAUUUAAAGAAAUGAUAUAAUUCUAUUGAUCUUCAAUACCAACAUUGAUUGAAAUGAAAUUGAUUUAAGUUUCAAGGUUCAUUGGUGUUACUGCAAUAUUAUGUACCACUGUACAUAAUAUGUGCAAGAGUGCUUUCUUGUCUCUUUGUAACUGUCGAAUUUAAUUCAGACUCUUCUCAAAUCUCUUAUCUCAAAUUACAUUGAAUGAUCCAUUAAAUGAGGAGCAUUAGAAAAGUUAUUUUUAAUCAAGUAUUUUAAACAUUAGUACUGUUGGAAUAUAGAGACCUAAUUGUCACUACCUUACUACACUAAAUGACAUGUAAACAAAUGUGUACUUAGGUCUUCCAAACUAGGAGCCUAACAUAAAUUCCCCUUACAAGCAUGGGAGGAAAGUUUUUCUGCAGCAAAUGUUUUUUUUUCGGGGGGGGGGGGGGGGGGGGGGGGGGGGUGGUUGUUGUAACUGUUGCAGGGUAGAUCGAGGGCCAAAAGUUAUGCUUGUAAAGAGAUCAGAUGUUGAGAGGAUGGACUAAGCUUUAUGAGAACAUUAAUUUCAAAUUGGUUUAUGUUGUCCCGAUUGAGCAGGUUGAUCUUUAUUUCAUUUAUUUUGUUAUUACCACCAUGUAAUUGAAUGCUAAUGACUGCCAGAAGUUGUAACUUUUAUAUUGUUCUUCUUUAGAUUUUUCCCAUUUUAUGUUUAAGUUGAAUGAAAUGUUGGUGAGGUUGAUACUUACAGACGUGUGGAAGAAAAUUCUUUAUGAAAUCCAAGUUAUGUGGUCUUCAUUAAAAAGAAGAUUGAAGUUUUUCUUUGACAACUUUUUGAUAUGGUAAUAAUGCAGGUUGAAGAAGAAAUUGACAUUCAGUUAAAUCUUGAGGACACGGUUGAUCUUACCAGCUUCUUGGACCAAUCAACUGGAUGCAGAGUCUUUCCUCCUCCCGUUAUGGAAUCCAAGUUUCUAUUUGAAGCCAAGUUCAUCCAAGGUUAUUGAGUUUCAAGUUUCUUUAAUUAAGUUUAUGCUUCUUGAACUAGAAUUGUAGUCUUGUGAUUUUUUGAAUAACAUAGUUGGAUUGGUUUUGUAAUUUUGUAAUUGUUGAUAACAUUGUUGAGAAGAAUGAAAUUAUUGUUAGUUUACUUAUUAUAUUAAA